CUGUACAGGGUAAACAAGAACUGGUCAGCUGGGACUGUACAGGGUAAACAAGAACUGGUCAGCUGGGACUGUACAGGGUUCCAAGAACUGGUCAGCUGGGACUGUACAGGGUUCCAAGAACUGGUCAGCUGGGACUGUAUAGGGUUCCAAGAACUGGUCAGCUGGGACUGUACAGGGCUCCAAGAACUGGUCAGCUGGGACUGUACAGGGUAAACAAGAACUGGUCAGCUGGGACUGUACAGGGGUUCCAAGAACUGGUCAGCUGGGACUGUACAGGGUUCCAUGUCAGAAUGUGGCAUGGUAUCUUGGUGAACUAGGGAUGAGUACAAGAACAAUAUACAUGCCCUGUCAUGCUGUUUACACAUGUGCACAUGCAUGCAAUAAGAAAACUCUUGUACUUUGAGGUGUUUUGAGCUCGCUUGGCAAACACCAUUUUUGUGCAUGAGGCUGUUUCAUUUUUUAGAUAGACAUGUAUGUCAUAAAAUAUUAUAUUUGGAAAGUGAGUUUUCAUCAUAAAGAAAGUAUUGUUGAUGAUACAAUCUUACUUUCAAUACGUAUUUGUGACCAGUGGUCCUCUCACUUUGAAGAACAUGGAUUGAACAUGGUACUUGUGUCCUUGUUAAUGUUACAGGGAACAAGACAUCUAACCUCUAUGUCCCUGUCUGUGCAUGUGUACAUGUGUCUCCUUAUAUAGAGUUCAGUUGUAAUUCAUUGAAGAUACCAGUGUUCAAGUUUAACAAUUGUCUUCAGUUUAAAUUGUGUUCAGUGAAACUGGGUUAUUGAUCGUUAGAUUUUCAUCUCAGCCUGCGGGCUCAUUACCAAACACUGGGCUCUCACCAUGUUUGUGCAGAUGUUGGAAUACUUUGUUGAGAAUCAUAUAUAUGGUGAUAUAUACAUACACCUGCCCAGACUGUAGUGAGCUUCUGUUGUGGCCUGCUUGUGCAAUGUCAGUAGUGAACGUCAUUGCUUCAGAAACAACUUUACGGAUUUUCAAUAUGGCUGCCCCUGUAGAAAUAUUUGACAGAGUGUACUGAACUUCCGCGUGUAUGUAUUGUGGAUGUUUAAAGCUACUGACUACACAUCCAAGUAAGCUACAGUUUCCUGGCGCUAUGUUUAAUUUUAUUUAUGAAAGUCUUGUGGAAGUGACAUCAUACUUUUGUAUCAGUAUCUUCAGUUUGACACUCAUGAUUUGUGUCACUUUGAUUGCAUGUAACUAUGGAGAUCAACAGGUCCAGGGUAUUUAUGGCCAGAGAAUAGAAAUAUAAUACACCGGAUAGUAAACCACUAGUAUGGUAGAAAGGAAUGCAUAGUAUUUGUUUUGCAUAAUAUGUAAAUGUGUUUGGUUGCCAUAAUAUACUCAUUAUUGCCUUUAAAGAAUAUGAAUGCUUUCAAAUAAAACAUAUAUUU
rnacentral:lncRNA from 1 species